rnacentral:rRNA from 1 species
AUGGCCGCCGCCCGCCGUGCUGUAGCAGCAGCUGUUGCCGCCUCUCCUCUCCGGCGAGCCGCCGCCUCCGUCUGCACCAGGCCUCUUGUACAACUCUGCCACAGCGUCUCGUCCUACACCACUCGCCGCCCCCUUUGUGACGGGGCGCCUGUACAGAUCCCACCCAAGAUCCGGCGUGAGAUCACCAGGGUCGAGUUGGCCGGCAUUUCCUUCCACCGUGACCUCGCCAAGGAGCUUAGGCAGCUCAGCAUGAGGGUCACCCGAGGCCAAGGUGCGGCGAGGGUAAGCACGGCCAUGCAGGUCGGGGUGGUUUCGUGGCGCGUCUGCACAGCCGUGGUUGCCGUGAUGGUAGCAGCGGGGCUCGGACUAGCGCAGGUCGCUAAGGACCGCUGGGAGGCUGAUUGCCAAUUGGCCGCCUGUAACCUUGUCACCGCAAAGCUGGACAAAUUGGGCAAAGAUCUGGAGGAUUGCUUGGUCCGGUGCAUCCAGCAGAAGAAGGCAACGGCGGACGCAAAUGCGUUUCUUGAGGAGCAGAGGCACAAGGAUGUCCUUGCAAGGGAGGCGGAGCUCGCGCUUUGGGAGUCUGAGAUAAUCAAGAGAGAGUCCAAGUGA